rnacentral:ncRNA from 3 species
AUGAACCUUCGGGGCAGGGUGCAAUUCCCUACCGGCGGUGACGGCGCGAAUGCGCGCCGAAGCCCGCGACUCCCGGAACUGCGAAUGCGGAUCCGGGACUGACUUGGUGAGAAUCCAAGGCCGACGGUGACAGUCCGGAUGAGAGAAGGUUUAA